rnacentral:misc_RNA from 1 species
GAUGAAGAACGUAGCGAAAUGCGAUAAGUAGUGUGAAUUGCAGAAUUCAGUGAAUCAUCGAAUCUUUGAACGCACAUUGCGCCCCUUGGUAUUCCAUGGGGCAUGCCUGUUCGAGCGUCAUUUGUACCUUCAAGCUCUGCUUGGUGUUGGGUGUUUUGUCUCGCCUCUGCGUGUAGACUCGCCUUAAAACAAUUGGCAGCCGGCGUAUUGAUUUCGGAGCGCAGUACAUCUCGCGCUUUGCACUCAUAACGGCGACGUCCAAAAGUACAUUUUUACACUCUUGACCUCGGAUCAGGUAGGGAUACCCGCUGAACUUAAGCAUAUCAAUAAGCGGAGGA